GCUCCCAGACACUGCCAAGAAAAAUGUUUUGCUCUAUGGCUACUCUCUGUCAUGUGGCACACGUUAUUCAAAAAUGUGCUCACAAAAAACCUUGGCAACUAUUCAACUGCCGGCACCAGCAAAAGUUUCACAGUAUAGAAUUGGUCUUCUUUUAUGCACUCAAACUUUUAUAUCAAAGAAGCGAAUAAACAUGCUCCCUUAAAUUGAGGUAAAAGAUGUCGUAUGCCAUCGACAUGGUCACAAUAGGAUAAAUUCUUUGUUAGGUUGAAAAUUUUAUCAUACCAAAGCUCAAAUUACAGGUCUAACUGCAAACUAACAUAAAAUUUGAAAACAAACCACUCCCGCGUUGAUAAACUUGGAAGACAGACAAAAAUGUUAUACAUAAUAGAAUUGCCAGAGCUCGUUGCACACCUUUGUCUAUUACCCUUCUAAAUACAUACAUAGUGAGUAACUUCAAAAAUGUUCCAGUCACGAAUGUAUCUUUAGCCAGUAAACAUUUGAGGCAAGUCAAACCUUCAUUAUCAAGGCACAGCUGCAUAAUCACUCAAAGACAUUUGGGAAAUUUUUAUUAACAAGGACACAUUUCUCUUUAAACUUCAUUGCUAAGCAAUCCAAAAACUAUUUCAUGCACUUCAGAAGUUACCGUCCUCCAACAAAAUUUGAUUAAUCAAUGAACUCUAUUGUUCCCCCAUCAACACUGUACACAUCGGACUUUUAGGGAUUCUUCUUCGCAAGACAACGGUCCAUGUGGAUUUUCAGGUUGCCUUUCUGAGAAAACCGUGCAUUGCAGUGGUCACAGGAAAAGGGACACUCUCCUGUGUGGGUGCGCAUGUGUCUAAUGAGGGUCUUUUUCAGCGAGAAGGAUGCACCGCAGCGGUCACAGGAAAAGGGACGCUCUCCUGUGUGGGUGCGAAUGUGCCCUGCGAGAUUAGUGUUAUGAGAGAAUGCGGCUGGACACAGGUGGCAUUGGAAGGGACGCUCGCCC